UUUUAAGGAUCAAAGGCUAACUCCGCUGCUUCCUGCGGCAACGCCUUCGUGACCCGCUUCCCGCGGU
rnacentral:sRNA from 1 species